rnacentral:lncRNA from 1 species
GAUGGAUGAAUAAUUUAGCAGCCGGGGGAAGAAGAAACUGCAUUCAGUGCUGUGUUGUGAAUGGGAGGCAAAAGGGAAGUAGACACCAGGAGAUGACUACGCCUAAGCAAGCCACUUGCCUGAGGCAGUACAUUUUGAGUAGGGUGCUCAAGUUCGUUGCGAUGGGGCGGUGCUGGAUGGUGACCAGAGACAGAAGGCAGAGUCCGUUGCAGAGAAACGCCAAAGCAUCCUGAUCUGCUUAGGCGCGAUCACUUUAUUUGUAACACAGCAACUUGCCAUGGCAGAAUCA